CGCAAAGUUAUAUUAGCAAGCUGUUUAGCUCAUGGGCAUUCCACCAAACACCCCACAUGCGGUAGCAGCAUUACCUGGUAUCCAUGCUUCCGAGUUUCCGACGGCUUACAGGUAACUGCUCUGCGUACGGAGAUCGGGUCGCAUUUUGAACUUUAGAUUUAGACGAGAUUCCACGCCUUCUUCUUGAGUCAUCUUCUCCGCCUCCUGCACUUUGCAAAGCAUUACCAUGAUCCUGAUGCAUGAUGGUCCCUCCUUUUCCCCCUCGCAGCUGCGCUGAGGAUUAUAGCAUACAAGCUGCAUCCGCCACGUGUACGCAAUGACGGCACCUAGCAUCUAGCUAUUUCGCACAUCACGCAUAGCGCUGCCGGUGCAAUAUUGCACAGUUUCCGGGUCCGGUGGGCGGUGGCCUGUCCGGGGAGGACUUGUUUCACUGCACUACAAUCCACCCGGCCGUGAGUUAUUUUUCACCUCAAUCCUUGGCAAUUCAUUUUCCAUGGUCAGUUGUACCGUCGAAAUACCAACAUGAUUUGCUUCUUCGUCCUCGAACAUAAAAAACCAGGCAUCCUACUUUCUGAAUUAUAA
rnacentral:lncRNA from 1 species